AGGGGAGUGAAAUAGAACCUGAAACCGUGUGCUUACAAGUAGUCAGAGCCCGUUAAUGGGUGAUGGCGUGCCUUUUGUAGAAUGAACCGGCGAGUUACGAUUUGAUGCAAGGUUAAGCAGUAAAUGUGGAGCCGUAGCGAAAGCGAGUCUGAAUAGGGCGUUUAGUAUUUGGUCGUAGACCCGAAACCAGGUGAUCUACCCUUGGUCAGGUUGAAGUUCAGGUAACACUGAAUGGAGGACCGAACCGACUUACGUUGAAAAGUGAGCGGAUGAACUGAGGGUAGCGGAGAAAUUCCAAUCGAACCUGGAGAUAGCUGGUUCUCUCCGAAAUAGCUUUAGGGCUAGCCUCAAGUGAUGAUUAUUGGAGGUAGAGCACUGUUUGGACGAGGGGCCCCUCUCGGGUUACCGAAUUCAGACAAACUCCGAAUGCCAAUUAAUUUAACUUGGGAGUCAGAACAUGGGUGAUAAGGUCCGUGUUCGAAAGGGAAACAGCCCAGACCACCAGCUAAGGUCCCAAAAUAUAUGUUAAGUGGAAAAGGAUGUGGCGUUGCCCAGACAACUAGGAUGUUGGCUUAGAAGCAGCCAUCAUUUAAAGAGUGCGUAAUAGCUCACUAGUCGAGUGACACUGCGCCGAAAAUGUACCGGGGCUAAACAUAUUACCGAAGCUGUGGAUUGUCCUUUGGACAAUGGUAGGAGAGCGUUCUAAGGGCGUUGAAGCAUGAUCGUAAGGACAUGUGGAGCGCUUAGAAGUGAGAAUGCCGGUGUGAGUAGCGAAAGACGGGUGAGAAUCCCGUCCACCGAUUGACUAAGGUUUCCAGAGGAAGGCUCGUCCGCUCUGGGUUAGUCGGGUCCUAAGCUGAGGCCGACAGGCGUAGGCGAUGGAUAACAGGUUGAUAUUCCUGUACCACCUAUAAUCGUUUUAAUCGAUGGGGGGACGCAGUAGGAUAGGCGAAGCGUGCGAUUGGAUUGCACGUCUAAGCAGUAAGGCUGAGUAUUAGGCAAAUCCGGUACUCGUUAAGGCUGAG
rnacentral:rRNA from 1 species